ensembl:snoRNA
AUCCUUUUGUGGUUCCUAAGUGUGAUGAUUGAGUUUUCAUAUUAUUGUGAAAUGUGCCUCUCUCAAACUUUGUUUUGCUGUUAGCACACUAUCUGUCUGAUG